ACUUAUCCAAUUUUUUGGCUUCGGACUUUUCUAUCUUCCAAUUACUUGGACCUCUAUCUUGUAUGCUUGUCUCCAACAGCUUGUUUCUCAUUUUCUACCUCAAACACUCGAACAUCUUUUCAACCUUCUCUUUCUAGAUGUCUUCUGCCUCCUACCUUCUGGGCUUAGUUUUUUUCUGUCUUCUAAAAGCCGUAUUUUUUAUCUUCUAGUUUUCCUAUCUUCACUAAUCUUUUCUUCACUAAUACUUCCAUCAACUUCCAAAGAAAGCCUUAAGGCUUCAAAUGACGCAGUUUUGAUCGCGCCGUGAAUUUGAAGGCAUUUCUUAAAUCACCUUCAACUGACCUUUAAAGAUGGCUUUUAGAACAUUUUAAUCCAUCUACGACUGGACUUUAAAAGUAUUGUUUAGGUUCUAUUUAUAGCAUUACGUUUGAACAAUAAUCUAAAAAGCUGCCCUUCAAUUUAAGACUUUAAAAUUCCAUACUUUGCAGUCCUGUCUCGGCAACUCCUUUUAAAAUUAGCUUUCUCACUCCAUGAAGAAGCUUCAGCUCUUAACCUCCGUCAUGUUCUAAUAUUAUCUUUUUUCUUCUUUCUUCCUUUCUCAUACUAUUUUUUAAGGACGUCUCCAUUUUCCCCUAAAAUAAGACCUUCUUAUUAAUUAUCAAAUCUACUCUCACGAAUUUAACUCAAAACUACAGCUCAGUAUUUUCGCUAAUUUAUAAUUCCUAGAGAAUAAGAGUAAUCCCUAUCUUAACAGAAAAACUUAUCUGCGGUCUCCUCAAGAAGCGUUUCCUGCCUCUCAGCCGUCUCUGCGCUCGCUGCCUCAAUGCCUGCCUCCC
rnacentral:lncRNA from 1 species